rnacentral:rRNA from 1 species
GACGAACCGUGCGAACGUUGUUCGGAAUCACUGGGCAUAAAGGGCGCGUAGGGCGGCUUAUCAAGUCAGGGGUGAAAGUCCGGACAGCUCAACUGUCGAAGUGCCCUUGAUACUGACGAGCUCGAGGGAGGUAGGGGUGUGUGGGAACUUCCGGUGGGAGCGGUGAAAUGCGUUGAUAUCGGAAGGAACGCCGGUGGCGAAAGCGACACACUGGACCUACUUCUGACGCUGAGGCGCGAAAGCCAGGGGAGCAAAGCGGG